AUUGAACGCUGGCGGCAGGCCUAAAACAUGCAAGUCGAACGAGUGGCGGACGGGUGAGUAAUGGCUGGGAAACUGCCCGAUGGAGGGGGAUAAAUACUGGAAAAGGCAGGUAAUACCGCAUAACAUCGGAUGUGGCCAGAUGGGAUUAGCUAGUAGGUGGGGGAACGGCUAACCUAGUCGACGAACCCUAGCUGGUCUGAGAGGAGGACCAGCCACCCUGGAACUGAGACACGGUCCAGACUCCUACGGGAGGCAGCAGUUGGGAAUCUUGCACAAUGGGCGCAAGCCUGAUGCAGCCAUGCCGCGUGUAUGAAGAAGGCCUUCGGGUUGUAAAGUACUUUCAGCGAGGAGGCGUUACUCGCAUAAUAAGCCCCGGCUAACUCCGUGCCAGCCGCCGCGGUAAUAC
rnacentral:rRNA from 1 species